rnacentral:rRNA from 1 species
CCUAACACAUGCAAGUCGAACGGUAACAGGAAGAAGCUUGCUUCUUUGCUGACGAGUGGCGGACGGGUGAGUAAUGUCUGGGAAACUGCCUGAUGGAGGGGGAUAACUACUGGAAACGGUAGCUAAUACCGCAUAACGUCGCAAGACCAAAGAGGGGGACCUUCGGGCCUCUUGCCAUCGGAUGUGCCCAGAUGGGAUUAGCUAGUAGGUGGGGUAACGGCUCACCUAGGCGACGAUCCCUAGCUGGUCUGAGAGGAUGACCAGCCACACUGGAACUGAGACACGGUCCAGACUCCUACGGGAGGCAGCAGUGGGGAAUAUUGCACAAUGGGCGCAAGCCUGAUGCAGCCAUGCCGCGUGUAUGAAGAAGGCCUUCGGGUUGUAAAGUACUUUCAGCGGGGAGGAAGGGAGUAAAGUUAAUACCUUUGCUCAUUGACGUUACCCGCAGAAGAAGCACCGGCUAACUCCGUGCCAGCAGCCGCGGUAAUACGGAGGGUGCAAGCGUUAAUCGGAAUUACUGGGCGUAAAGCGCACGCAGGCGGUUUGUUAAGUCAGAUGUGAAAUCCCCGGGCUCAACCUGGGAACUGCAUCUGAUACUGGCAAGCUUGAGUCUCGUAGAGGGGGGUAGAAUUCCAGGUGUAGCGGUGAAAUGCGUAGAGAUCUGGAGGAAUACCGGUGGCGAAGGCG